UGGACGGCACUGUUCUUCUAUCUUCUCCUGGAUGUUUCGUCUCACCGUGCGUUGCCUCGAAAGCAGGACUCCGUAGAAGGCAUCAUUCGCCUCCUUCAGUUGGGCAUUCGUAGCAACGCUGACUUUGGAACAACGAUCCAGCUUUCCACAAGUACUCCGUCAGUCAAGACUUACCUAUGGGUCCCACUUCCUUCUCUAAGGACACCUCUGUGGGCCAUUCCCAGGAAGCCAAGCACAAUGAAUGAGAUCGUCUCCAAGAGCAACCCUGUCCUACGAUCAUACCUGGAGAAAGGUCUUAAAGGGAAAGCUCCGGUCCGAAUGAACAUCUGCUGUCAUCAUUGGUAGCGUCUUUGUUUACGGCACAUUUUUCUAAUAAAGGAGCAUAUGUACUUUGGCA